CAGUCGCCACGGUAAAACGUAGGGUGCAAGCGUUAAUCGGAAUUACUGGGCGUAAAGCGUGCGCAGGCGGUUAUGUAAGACAGUUGUGAAAUCCCCGGGCUCAACCUGGGAACUGCAUCUGUGACUGCAUAGCUAGAGUACGGUAGAGGGGGAUGGAAUUCCGCGUGUAGCAGUGAAAUGCGUAGAUAUGCGGAGGAACACCGAUGGCGAAGGCAAUCCCCUGGACCUGUACUGACGCUCAUGCACGAAAGCGUGGGGAGCAAACGGGAUUAGAUACCCCUGUAGUCCCUGUCUCUUAUAU
rnacentral:rRNA from 1 species